rnacentral:rRNA from 1 species
GAACGGGUCAUAAUAGAAACACCGUCCGAUCCCUAGUCGGCAUAGUUUAUGGUUAAGACUACGACGGUAUCUGAUCGUCUUCGAUCCCCUAACUUUCGUUCCCUGAUUAAUGAAAACAUCCUUGGCGAAUGCUUUCGCAGUAGUUAGUCUUCAGCAAAUCCAAGAAUUUCACCUCUGACAGCUGAAUACUGACGCCCCCGACUAUCCCUAUUAAUCAUUACGGCGGUCCUAGAAACCAACAAAAUAGAACCGCACGUCCUAUUCUAUUAUUCCAUGCUAAUGUAUUCGAGCAAAGGCCUGCUUUGAACACUCUAAUUUUUUCACAGUAAAAGUCCUGGUUCCCCCCACAGCCAGUGAAGGCCAUGAGAUUCCCCAGAAGGAAAGGUCCAGCCGGACCAGUACUCGCGGUGAGGCGGACCGGCCAGCCAGACCCAAGGUUCAACUACGAGCUUUUUAACUGCAACAACUUUAAUAUACGCUAUUGGAGCUGGAAUUACCGCGGCUGCUGGCACCAGACUUGCCCUCCAAUUGUUCCUCGUUAAGGGAUUUAGAUUGUACUCAUUCCAAUUACGAGACCCAAAAGAGCCCCGUAUCAGUAUUUAUUGUCACUACCUCCCCGUGUCGGGAUUGGGUAAUUUGCGCGCCUGCUGCCUUCCUUGGAUGUGGUAGCCGUUUCUCAGGCUCC